rnacentral:lncRNA from 10 species
CUGCAACCUCUGCCUCCUGAGUUCAAGCGAUUCUCAUGCUUCAGCAUCCUGAGUAGCUGGGACUAUAGGUGUGAGCCACCAUGCCCAACUAAUUUUUGUGUUUUUUUAGUAGAGAUGGAAGUUUCAUCAUGCUGGCCAGACUGGUCUCAAACUCCUGGCCCGAAGUGAUCUGCCCACCUUGGCCUUCCGGAGUGCUGGGAUUACAGGCAUGCACCACCACACCUGGCUUGUAUGCUUUAUUAGAACUACCAUAUUGAGCAAUCCUGCUUCUGGGUAAAUACCCAAAGAAAACAAAAUCAGUGCCUUGAAGAGAUAACUCCAUGUCCACUGCUGCGCUAUUCACAAUAGCCAAGAUAUGGAGACAACCUACGUGUCUGUCGACAGAUGAAUGGAUCAAGAAAAUGUGGCACGUAUAUAUAUAUCAGAAUAAGAAUAUCAUUCUGCCUUAAGAAAGGAGAUCUUGCCAUUUGCAACAACAUUGAUAAAUCUGGAGGACAUUAUGCUUGGUGAAAUAAGCCAGACACAGAAAGAAAAAUACUGCAUAAUCUCACUUAUAUGUGGAAUCUUAAAAAGUUGAACACAUAGAAGCAGAAAGUAAAAUGGUGAGCCAGCCACAGUGGCUCACGCCUGUAAUCUCAGCACUUUGGGAGGCCGAGGUGGGUGGAUCACUUGAGGCCAGGAGUUCGAGACCAGCCUGGCCAACAUGGUGAAACCCCCGUCUCUACUAAAAAUACAAAAAUCAGCUGGGCGUGGUGGUGCAUGCUUGGAAUUCCAGCUAAUUGGGAGGCUGAGGCAGGAGAAUCCUUUGAACCCAGGAGGCGGAGGUUGCAGUGAGCCGAGAUCACACCAUUGCACUCCAGCCUGGGCAACAGAGUGAGACUCCGUCUCAAAAAAAAAAAAAAAAUAAAAUAAGAAAGAAAGAAAGUAAAAUGGUGGUUAGCAGGCAUGGGGAGGUAGGGAAAAUGGGAAGAUGUUGCUCAAAUGGUACAAAGUUGCAGUUAUACAGGAUUAAUAAGUCUAGAGCUCUAUUGUACAGCAUGAUGACUACAGUUAAAAAAGAUUGUAUUGGGCCAGGCACAGUGGCUCACACCUGUAAUCACAGCACUUUGGCUGAGAUGGGAGCAUUGUUUGAGCCCAGGAGUUCAAGACCUAACUGAGCAACAUAGUGAGAUCCUGCCUGUACAAAAAAACAAACAAAAAAAUUAGCCCAGUGUGGUAGUGUGCAGCUGUGGUCCCAGCUACUCGGGAGGCUGAGGUGGGAGGAUUGUUUGAGCCCGGGAGGUCAACGCUGCAGUGAGCCAAGAUCAUGCCACUGCACACCAGCCUAGGCAACAGAGUGAGACUCUUGUCUCGAAAAAAAAAAAAAAUUGUAUACUGGAAAUUUUCUAAGACAGUAGAUUUCAGAUGCGGUCACCACACACACAUAUCCAUACAAGGUUACUAUGUGAGGAGAUGGAUAAGUUAAUUAGCUUGACUGUAGUAAUCAUUUCAUUACAGAUAACAAAACACCAUGUUAUGCACCUUAAAUAUGUGCCGUUUUUAUUUAAAACAAUAAAACAACCCAAUUGUGUGUACCUGUGUGUUAUUCUCUUGACAAAUGGGUGAAAAUAUGAUAAAAGCCCAACUCGCAUCUGAGGAUACAACUUAAAGGGAUUAGAUUUCAAAUGCCUGCACCUUCCAGUUGACGC